rnacentral:lncRNA from 1 species
GGGACAGUUUGCGCUUCAAAAAAAGGCGAAAACCGCUGCAGUAGAUCGAGGAUGGAGAGGGGAGGUGUGCUGUGAGUUAACUACAGUAGUAAAGUCAGUCUGAGGGUUUAAAGAGGCGUUAGGGAGUCAGGUUAGUCCGGAGAUCGCCCUGUUUAGAUUUCCUUAGGAAUAACGUGAGAGUGGUAAGGGGAAUUAAACAGGGAGCUGUGUGAGAUUAUGAUUAUGGAGCCGUGGAAAAGUCACGUGCGGGCCAAGCUGUUUCAGAGGGACUGUUUACAGAGAGAGCCCUUCUCUGGACUCUUUAAUAAAGUGUCCAGGUUAGAAGACAUGCUAAAUCUGCACGUGAGUUUAUUGGAGGACUUGGAAAGAAACAGUUCAAAUCAAAAUGGAAUAAAAAAGCAGGUUGAAGAAGAAGCCCCUCCAAAACUGUGUCUGGAGUUAAGAGAGGCCCAGCAUGACAGAGAAGAGCUGAUACAGAAAGUCUCAGACCUCACCAGUGUUCUUUACCUCAAAGAAGCAGAGCUGCAGUACUGUCACUCACAAGUCGCCCGAUUCCGCAGCGAAGCCGUUCUGCUGGCUAAAGGAGCGUCCUUACUGAAGGAUGAUCUGUCGGAGUAUCAGUAUAAACUGGAGUGUCAGUCUAAGGAGUUGGCAGCAUUGAGGCUGGAGCACAAGAAUCUGAAGGAGGAUCUAGCGGUUACGCGUCAGGAAAGGGAGGAGCUGCUUGAGCGCUGGUUAGAAGAGAAGAAAGAAGAGGCGGAGCGUCUUAAUAAACACAAUGCUACUCUAGAGAGAUGGAAUCGUUUUGCUGGUCGACUGAAAAAACGUCACAGUGGAGGAUGUUGUCGACAGAAGUGUGCAGCAGCUACAAAUUGCCCAAGAAUCACACAGAGACAUUCAGCUGAUCAGCCUCUGCCAGACAUAAGUGAAUGA